AUAUUUUUGAAUUAAGUAUUCAUAAUAUAUUUCAGACAAAAUAAAUUAAAAUAGAGUUGAAAAUUUAUAAAAAACAUUGCACACAAGGUGGAUAUGGAUUGUUUUAAAAGUGCCAUAAAACACUUUUAUUAUGAAUGAUCCUUCCGCAGGUUCACCUACGGAAA
rnacentral:misc_RNA from 1 species